GUUUUGUUAAUCGUCUGUGUUGAGCGAGGAAAGGGGGCACGGGGUCGGUUCCGGUUUCUUCUGACCAGGGAUUUGAUCUUCCUUCCCUAUUCUUUCCUGCAGUGGCAGUUCUAUUCGCCCUCCUCUUCGCCGGUUCAUCUAGGGCGGUGCGUGUGGCUCUUGGUGACGCCGCUGUCGCCGCAUGUCUUCGCCGUGGCUCUUGCCGGCAAGGAGAGCUGGUGUAGGGGGUGCUCAAGGCGACUCAAGAAGAACAAGGCUGCAAAAAUCUCAACGGCUGCCCGUGCGGAGGCGGCCGGACCAUGGUCGCUGGCUGUACCAACCAUGCGACCUGCACGAGAAGGCCUACCCAGCGAGAAAAACUUGGGGCGAUGAGAGGCUGGGCUGAGGAGACCAGCAUCCAUGGGAUUGCCUUCCUCACGAACAAGGCCCAGCUUCGGUUGGUACAAAUAAAUCAUCAAGAGUUCACUAUCCUGAGGACCACCAUCGGGGAACUUUAGAAUAUAACUGCAGAAGCGGCAGCUGGAGUUGAGGACAUGGGAUUGUAGCCGUUUCUUCUGCUAGGCAUAUUGUAGACAUGUAACAAGUCCAGAUCUGUAGGAAGAUGAGAAAUGGCAGCUUGGCUACCAAUGAUUGUGGAUCCCUUGAAUAUGGUGUAUGUGAUUUGGCAUCAACGCUACUGCAGGUGAUAAUGAAAUAAUUACAUAUAUGUUAAAUUCUUACUGACAAUACAAUGCUUUUGUUAAAUUUAUUCCGAAGUCCACAGUAUAAAAAUGCUGGCUGCAUAGAUAUUUUCUCAUGCAUAUAGCCAUAUAUUCAUUACUAUAUUGAUUAGUACGGCCAGAAAUAAGCUACUCUAUUGGGUUAAAGGGAAAAUGAAAAAAACUAUGAAUGCUGAAUUUAUAUGUACUUCUUACUCACAACUACACUUCAUGUGCACUAUAUAUCAGUUUUCUCUCAUUUGCUCUAAUACUAGGCUUACUGAAAACACUCCACAUUCAUUUGUGCUUCUCCUGAAAACAGUUAUGAUACAAUGUUUGUUCCAGAACGUUAUAGCUAUAUGUGCUAUUAGCUUAUUACUUGAUUUUACCGUUUGCAUUUUGGAUUCUCUAAGGUGCUGCUUUGUCAGCUGUGGUCAAAACAAAAGAGUCCAGGAGAAAUAUCUUGCAGAUUGCUUUUCUUUGAGAAUAUUUUUCAAAAUCUAGGAUUGGCAUCCCAAGCACAUGCUAGAUGCCUUAGGUGUGGAGUGCUGGUCAUUUAAGAUGGCAUCAUUAAUUUGGAAUGAAUGUAACUCUGUUCAAUCAACCUGUGACAACUCAGACAGCAUACGAGCCCUUACAUUACUCACAUUUUCUGAUCUUCAACUCCUAUGUCACCCCUUUUUAUUUUCAUUUGAUCAAAUCAACUGUACUUCCUUUAUUCUGGCAAAAUAUUAUUCAUAUUGAAUCCAAAUAAUAACUCAUUCACUAUGAUUAAUGCAUGAUCGCAUGUCAGCUCAAUUGUGGCUUUGUCGAUUCUUAAAAUCCAAGUAACACAAUUUAAUUAGAUACGUCAGCCCUCGGAUAUGAUAGUUGGAUACUUGCCAAUGUCAUUUCUUAAUAAUUUGGUGAGUACUCAAGUAAAAAAAAUUGUUAGUACUUAUUGCAUUUCCAUUAAUUGUUCAGUAAUAUGUCCACCAAUUUAUUGUUUUGACUCGAUUUGAAUCUCAAUAAACCUUGGAGAAAGUAGUGUCUGGAAUUGUAGGCCUGUAUGUGAUAGUUAUGUAUGUCCAUUAUGUGAGAAGCUGUUAAUAUAGGUUAACAUGUUUCAAUCAUUUUCCACAUGGUUCCUCAAUACUGAAAAUUAUCUUCUCAACGAAUCUUAUGUACUUCAGUUUGGUGCUCCGGCUUAUUCAGCGUUUGUCAUGCCUGUUGUGGAUAACCAGAACUAGGGUGCAUAUCAGGAAUAUAAUGGAGAAAUAAGCAUGGGCUGAAGGCAGCGUAUUACACAUCGGCCGUGUGCUGGGGGAUAGGACAUAGUCUUUGUCUAAGUUUCUAUUGUCGUCAUCACCUUUAUUCUCUUGUGAUGACUUCAGGAAGGUCUGACCAUAUGUAUUUCUAUUUGAGAUAAUCGUUUCAGCAUUCUUAUUUUAUGACACCUCUAGAUUGAGAUGAUCCUUAGCUCUGCAUGGCAUCACCUAAACUUUCACAUUCAGAUUGAACUUGGACGAGAUAAGUUAGGAUGAGGAAUUCGUUGUUGAAUAAUUGUUUUUUUUUCCUUUUUUUAUUACGUAUGAUACCUUCCAUAUGGUUUCUUGAAACAAAAAUGAGUAACCAUAUCUCAGUCAGUCACACUUUGAUUUUUAAUAUCAAAGGAAAUCUCUUGAUUUCGUUUAUCUCUAAAUUUCUUGGUUGAUUUCAUACUAUAGCUAGAACUACUGAAAUGUCUGCAUCAAUGGGGUUUGUGGGCAUUAUGCAACUAUUGGGUAAUUAAAAAGGUGUUCUCAUUUGCCUUAUGAAUGAUGUCAUUUAAUUCGGUGUACUUUUCUUCUACACACAUAGAUAAAACAGAGCCUUAGUUGUACGAAUGAUAGAUUUGAGGAAUUAUCUCUAAAAUAAAUAUGGAUUUAAAUAUUAGUAUUGACGGUCUAUUAAUCAUUUGGCUUACCUACUUUUGCAAUUCACCAUGCAGACUGUGCAUCCGAUAUUAGGUAAGCGUGCUUGUAAAAUAUAUGUGAAUUAUAGAGUAGUUGCAAAACAUUUAAAGUAUAUUUUCCCAGCAUUUCGUUAUCUAUACCCAUCUACUUUUUAUUACUGCCAUAAUUUAUUAGAAAUAAUGAAAAAUAUAUCUAAUGGUGUACAACAAAUAUCAUCCCCAGAUUUUCUCAUAAAUGAGUACCACCAGGAGACCAUGGUAGCCUGAUGAUAACCAGGUUUACACGAUGCUAUUCAUUGGUUCUUAUUAAUAUUUGUGGUUUCAAAUCUUAUAUCUGUUUAGUUCUACCAGUCUGGGAGAGGAAUCAUGUUCUCAUUGUUUUAUGCAUUUAGACUGUUAGAAAAUGGAGUUACUACUUACAACUGAUUGUUAUAGCUUGUUUUCGGCUUAUUCGCUGUAAUGAAAUUUGGACUCACUUCACUGAAGAAACUGCAUCCAUAUACUCUGGAAGUACAUCACAUUAUCUACUAAUGGUGCCACGUAUAUCCUUGGGAACCCAAAUUGGUUUUGUGCCUCACCGCAGAUACACCAGUAUCUCCGAAAAUCACCCAAAUUGUUGUUAUGUACUUUUUUGUUGUUUUAGGAUGGUUGCAGAAAUUAAUGUAUCGUGAAGUGUACAUGAAUUCAGUGAUGAACCAGCCUAUUGUUUUUUUUUCCAUAGAUCAGUUAGUGGCAAGCUCUAAUAAAAAAUAUGACUGUGUGUGAUUGAGAAAUAUAUUGAUACUUCCCUGUAGUCCAAGUAUUUUAUUCUUGUGUGACAUUUAUGUAAAGAAUAAUUUAUGUAGUUUUCCAAUGAUUGCAUGCCCAAGAAUUAUUUUUCCUUACCUCAACCAUUUGGUAACUGUAGUUCUUGUUUUAACCUCUCUAUCUAUGGCGCACAUGAUUUUUUCCCCAUAGGUACAGUUUCCUGGAAAUCCAUAAUAUGGUGGUAAGUAUCAAGAGUACGCUUACCAAGAAUUUCAAGUAUCGCACCCAACUUUUGUCUCUGGGCCAUACUAUUUUUUGGUUAAUAGCAGUGCAAAUUUUAGUUAUAGCACCCAACUUUUGUCUUUGGGUCAUACUAAUUUUCAGUCAGUAUCAGUGUACUAUUAUUAUUGCUACAUCGGGCUUAUUACCUAUAGUUGAAAA